rnacentral:rRNA from 1 species
UACGUAGGGUGCAAGCGUUGUCCGGAAUUAUUGGGCGUAAAGAGCUCGUAGGCGGUCUGUCGCGUCAAUGUGAAAACCCGGGGCUCAACCCCGGGCCUGCAUUCGAUACGGGCAGACUAGAGUUCGGUAGGGGAGUCUGGAAUUCCUGGUGUAGCGGUGAAAUGCGCAGAUAUCAGGAGGAACACCGAUGGCGAAGGCGGCCCGCUGGGCAGGCAAGACGGGCGCAAGCCCGUCGGCUGACGACUG